rnacentral:rRNA from 1 species
AUGAACGCUAGCGGCAGGCUUAACACAUGCAAGUCGAGGGGUAUAGUUCUUCGGAAUUAGAGACCGGCGCACGGGUGCGUAACGCGUAUGCAAUCUACCUUUCACAGAGGGAUAGCCCAGAGAAAUUUGGAUUAAUACCUCAUAGCAUAAUGAGUUGGCAUCAACACAUUAUUAAAGUCACAACGGUGAAAGAUGAGCAUGCGUCCCAUUAGCUUGUUGGUAAGGUAACGGCUUACCAAGGCAACGAUGGGUAGGGGUCCUGAGAGGGAGAUCCCCCACACUGGUACUGAGACACGGACCAGACUCCUACGGGAGGCAGCAGUGAGGAAUAUUGGACAAUGGGCGCAAGCCUGAUCCAGCCAUGCCGCGUGCAGGAUGACGGUCCUAUGGAUUGUAAACUGCUUUUGCACAGGAAGAAACAACUCUACGUGUAGAGUCUUGACGGUACUGUGAGAAUAAGGAUCGGCUAACUCCGU